GAAGGCCUUCGGGUUGUAAAGCUCUUUCGGCCGGGACGAAAUACGCACGGGCUAAUAUCCUGUGUGGAUGACGGUACCGGAAUAAGAAGCACCGGCUAACUACGUGCCAGCAGCCGCGGUAAUACGUAGGGUGCGAGCGUUAAUCGGAAUUACUGGGCGUAAAGCGUGCGCAGGCGGUUUGAUAAGACAGGCGUGAAAUCCCCGGGCUUAACCUGGGAACUGCGCUUGUGACUGUCUCACUAGAGUACGGCAGAGGGGGGUGGAAUUCCACGUGUAGCAGUGAAAUGCGUAGAGAUGUGGAGGAACACCGAUGGCGAAGGCAGUCCCCUGGGGAUAAGACUGACGCUCAUGCACGAAAGCGUGGGGAGCAAACAGGAUUAGAUACCCUGGUAGUCCACGCCUAAACGAUGUCUACUAGUUGUUGGGGUAG
rnacentral:rRNA from 1 species